CGGUGAUCUCAUUUCAUGAACAGGGGAAUCUUUUUUGUGUCUUUCGGAUAAAUUGAUAUUCCAGCACCAGCUUAACACAUAAUGAAAUGAAGAUGUUGGAUGUAUUGGAGAGUGAUAUAGCCGCAGUAUUAAAUACAAAGGAAUAUUUAUUGCUUUUGAUUCCGUGUUUUCGUCAAUAGCAAAAGCGGGAGGUGUAAUGGCUGCGGUAUUAAAAUUAUUGGCAACAUAUUAUAUGUUUGAUUUAGAGUAUCCCAUACCCUUUUCGAUGGUACUGGGGAUAAUGCAAACCUUUGUAAUGGAGGAGCCGUACAAAAAGGAAACCAGUAAAAAAUAUAAAACAUUUAUAAAAUCACUGAGAAGUAUAUAUAACAAAUACCCAAAUUAUCAAGAGUAACAUGUAUACAUGUAUAUGUAUUAUUAAAUACAUUUAUCUAUA